rnacentral:rRNA from 1 species
CCUUUAGCUAAACAAGUAUUAAAGGUCCCGCCUGCCCAGUGAUUUUUUCAACGGCCGCGGUAUUCUAACCGUGCAAAGGUAGCGUAAUCACUUGUCUUUUAAAUAAAGACCUGUAUGAACGGCUAAAUGAGGAUAAACCUGUCUCAUAUAACUAAUCAGUGAAACUGAUCUUCCAGUACAAAAGCUGGGAUAACCACAUAAGACGAGAAGACCCUGUGGAGCUUAAAACAACCACUAAACAAUCACCCAAUUGACUUAGUGCUCGUUUUCAGUUGGGGCGACUUCGGAAUAAAAAACAACUUCCGAGCACAGAGCCACAACCUCUAACCGAGGCCAACAAGCCAAAGCAUUAAAAUCGACCCGGCCUAAGCCGAUCAACGAACCAAGUUACCCCAGGGAUAACAGCGCAAUCUUCUUCGAGAGCCCCUAUCAACAAGAAGGUUUACGACCUCGAUGUUGGAUCAGGACACCCAAAUGGUGCAGCCGCUAUUAAUGGUUCGUUUGUUCAACGAUUAACAGUCCUACGUGAUC